rnacentral:lncRNA from 1 species
UUUUCUUCAAUUUUUAUGUGCAGAGUUAAAGUACUAAGUUAUCAAGGUGUUUAAAAUCAGAACAAGUCGACUUAAAUAUACAUAAUCACAUUAUUUAAUCUUAAACUUAAACUUAACAAUAGAAUAUUUGAACGAGUUUACCCUAAGAAUUGGUAACAAAGGUUUUGCUCAACAGUUUGAGUUUGAUUUCAAUAUGUUUAACAUGAUUUAGAGAACACAACCGGAAAAAUAUAUUUUUACGCCCAGCUUUUACAACAAGCAAAAAAUUUACAAUCACUUUAUUAAAAUGAAUCUAAAUCAUUUGCUGUUACAAAUUAUGUCAUCCUAUUUAUUCAGCCUAUAAAUAUUUUUAAACAUUUUAGAUUGGUUGCAGCCUAACAAAAUUGUGAAAAAACAAUAUUGAAUAAUUCUAAUGUUUUAAAAUUUUAUUUCCGUUACAAAAUUUAGUGAAUAAAAAUGUUUUAUAUUUAUGAGUUUGCCAUGAUUGCUCUGAUUGAAUCAUGGCAAAAUACUUAUUCAGUUCUAACUGUUUAUUAAAUAAGCUUGGGUCUUUAAGGCUUGACCUUGGUGAAUGCAGUAAAAAAUAUUUAAAUAAGAUCUUAUGUGUAAAACACUUCAAUGUGCCUUUUUUAUAUUUUUUUCUUUUUUAGGCCAACUCUCACGUGUUGGCGGAAAGUUAGCAAAAUAUGUUAAGGACUUAAUUCAGAGAUAAUGUUGCUAAACGAUUUACAGUCUAUAAUCUUUCGAAAGCAGAAAAACUCAGUGUCAAACAAAGAAUACGCGAAUU